UUUUUUUUUUUUUUUUUUUUUUUUUUUUCUUGG
rnacentral:ribozyme from 13 species